UGAAAAUGUAUUGACUCUGGGAAACAGUGUGAAAGGAAACACAGAAAAUCUCUCUGGCUUCAGUUCAAGUCUAAAAAACCAAGUUCAGGAUUAUUUUCCCAUGAUCUUCUCAACAUGAAAGACUGAUGCAGCACCGCAUUGGCUACUAUCCAGUCUAGAUGGGAGGUAAAUUAUAUUCCUCUUCCUGGAAUACAGCCUUCACCACUAGUGUCACCAAACCCUCUUCUCUUGAGAGCUGAAGUCAGCCAAGUGCAACCAUAAGCCCUGCAAGAAGCUGACAUUCAGAAACCAGUCCUCCCACUCUUUUCUGCCUCAACAUUCCCUCCCUUGUUUUCUGAAUUUCCUUCUUGUCCCAGACGUCUCCAGGCUAGACGAGCCUUUGCUGUGGUGAACUAACUAACCCCUUUGGGCAUGGAGAAGACAAAACGGUACUUCUAGCUCCAGCUUGCAAGCAGAUGUAUUAUGAGUCUUUACUGAACCAAAAAUUGAGCUACUGAUUCUAAACACCUGGGACAGAGUGCCUGGGAACUGAGAAUGCAAUGUAUCGAAUGGCUGAGCCACCUCUUCUUGAGAAGGCCCUCCAGGAGUCAGCUAACAGGAUGAAGAACUUGUAUCUGAAACGUUGAACCAUUUUACUGCUGAAAAUAAGAGAAAGGAAAGAAGAAAGACUUUACUCCCUCAUAUUCUACUACUGAUUCUUAGUAAGUAUAAGCUUCUCCUCAUGUUUUCAUGCCUAUUCAUAAGAGUUUUCACAAUUUUUUUUAACUAUUAAAAGAUUUAGCUAAAAUGAAUAUUAUAAGAUUGCUAAUAUACACAGAACAGUUUUGAUGACCAAAGUGGUUUGGAUCUCGUGCUUUAAAAUCAGCAUUUCUUUACUAGUAUAUUUCUGAGGAUUUCAUCCAAACAUA
rnacentral:lncRNA from 1 species